rnacentral:lncRNA from 1 species
CAGAAUUAGAAAACAAAGGAGAAGGAAAAGUCUGCGGGUGUUUUUGGCUCCAUGGUGAGUGCUGCGGAUGGGCCGGUGAGGAGUGUACCUGUCUGCCUUCGAGGCUCAGAGAUCUGGCUGAUGGCCUAAUGCUGGGAGGCAUGAGGAGGAAAUGGACAGCAGAGAGGGCGUUUGUGAAGUGUUAUGAAGCAAGCGCACUCCCAUUGUCUCAUCCCAUAUAA